UGGGGAAUAUUGGACAAUGGGCGAAAGCCUGAUCCAGCCAUGCCGCGUGAGUGACGAAGGCCUUAGGGUUGUAAAACUCUUUCGUCGGGGACGAUAAUGACGGUACCCGAAGAAGAAGCUCCGGCUAACUUCGUGCCAGCAGCCGCGGUAAUACGAAGGGAGCUAGCGUUGUUCGGAAUCACUGGGCGUAAAGCGCACGUAGGCGGAUAGUUAAGUCAGGGGUGAAAUCCUGGGGCUCAACCCCAGAACUGCCUUUGAUACUGGCUGUCUCGAGGUCGAGAGAGGUUGGUGGAAUUCCUAGUGUAGAGGUGAAAUUCGUAGAUAUUAGGAAGAACACCAGUGGCGAAGGCGGCCAACUGGCUCGAUACUGACGCUGAGGUGCGAAAGCGUGGGGAGCAAACGGGAUUAGAUACCCCCGUAGUCCCUGAGCGGGCUGGCAAGGCGCAU
rnacentral:rRNA from 1 species